AUGUUUCCUCUCAAGAACAGCUUCGUCCCCCUUUCGUCUACGAGUGAGCUGCUCGUGGCGGCGGCGCUAAUUUCGGCCACCCGCGGCCAAGGAAAAUGGAGGACGCUGGUGUGGAGUUUCUUCUGGACGCUGUCGACAGGUUCCCGCCGCGGGAGGAGUACGCGGACAACAUUGAACAUAGAUCCGGUUCCUCUGGUCUUGUUGCCCACAAGGGAAACCAAUCGUGGAGACCCUGAAGACUCAAAUGUCGGGUCUGGCUGCGGGCAAUGGCUCGGCGACGAUGGAGCUGACAAAGCACGAGACGGAGUUCGCCGACGUUCAGAUUCAUCUCCGACCAUGUCAGCGCAGUCAACUGACAAAGUCAACCCACAGGCCCCAAGUUGGAAAAAAAAGGUUGUGGCUGGGUAG
rnacentral:rRNA from 1 species